rnacentral:antisense_RNA from 2 species
GUGGGAGCGAGCCUGCUCGCGAAAGCCACACUGCGGUUUAUCAGAUCAACCACGGUGAUGUCAUUCGCGAGCAGGCUCGCUCCCAC